rnacentral:lncRNA from 1 species
AUGUCUUUCAACUCUUCGUGGAAGCCAAACACAACAUAUCAGCUGAGCCAAUGGUUCUUCCUCCACCAAACCGGAUUGUGGGUGAUCCUCUCUCAACAAGAGCUUAUGGAAAAGAUCUCAUCUCAGAGGAGGAGGAGAAGAAGAAAAGGCAGAAGCAUCUUUCACUUCAAGUGAAAGGCAGAGGCAUCUUUCACUUCAAAUGAGGUAGGGAGAUGUGGGAAACAGAAGAAAAUUUUAUAGAAAAGCCCCAUCUGAAUAAGGUUGUAGCAAUAUAAGCAAUAAAUCUGUUUAACAAGGCAAUGUUACAUUUCCAUGAAAUCAUCAAAAGAAGGCAAAAUUAAGUGUCAUUGGAUAGGUUCCUUGCUAAAAGCGCAUGAAAACGAAAAAGAAUCUAUUGAGCCACUUGAUAGCAGUGAUUCUCUUAGUGAUAGUGAAAAUCAUCAUACAUAGUAACCCUCCUCUCUCUUGUCUCCCUCACACCAGGCAUGGAGGUUUACAAAGGUAUACAUUAAAAACAGUAAAGUGCAUAUACAAGCUCCACACAGGAAAUGUAAACAUUAUGUUCUGCAAACAGGCUCAAGACAACAACAACAAAGCAAGGAGUUCAAGAGAUGGGUGGACAGGGGAGGAAGGGAAGGGAAAGAGGAUAAAAAAAGUAAUUAAUAUGUGUCAUGUACAUGUACCAACUUCCCACAAGGAAUGUAAAUGUUAUGUACUACACACAUGUACUAAUCAAAUAAAAUUUUUUUAAAAGUACAGGACAACUUAUGAUUUAUGGCUUGUAAUACAUGUACGCUAUUUUGUUGAUUUUUUUUUAACCCAAAGGCAGCCUCUGUCAUUUCUUGCAUUUUGUUCAGAGCAAAUUAUGAUUCAUUUCAAUAACCUUUCUCAUUCCUGUGCAGAUCAACCAGA